UCUAUAAAUUCUCUAUUCCACAAAAAAAAUAUAUUUGUUUAACCAUUCAUGCACCCUCCUUAUAAUAUAGAUAAAACCAAUAUUAGUCAAUACACUGCUUAACAAAAUAACUAUUAAAUAUUAGAAAAUUUUCCCCUUUAACAAAAAAUGUAAUGACAAAUUAAUCCAAUCAAUUCUUUUUUUGUUAUUUUGCAAUAAUAUUUCGAGUAAAGGGUUUAAGCUUAAAAGUGAUGUAAGGAAUUUUUACUUUCAAAAAGCUUAGACAUUUCAGUUUGCAUUAAUUAUUUUCUUGGAAGUGAAAUUUGAUUUUAAGAAGUAUGGUAUUUUGUAACAUUAUUCUAUUGGUCAUGCCUGGUUGUGCGGUAUGCGCUUUGGAUUGGCAUUUGGUGGUUUCAGUGGUCCUCUGUUCAAACCUUGCCACUGCUUCACCCAUUGUCCUGCAGGAAGUUUGGGCUAAGAUGUAAUUAUCUUAUGUAAUAAUUAUCUUAUGUAAUAAAACUGAAGAGACAUCCAAAACGUGUAAAACAAACAAACAAGUAAAUAAAAUUCUAAGUGCAGCAUGUCAGAUAGUGAAAGCUUUGAAGUUAGCAUAAUGAAUGUUCUUACAUCAAUCACUUUAUCAAAAUAUAAUUUAUUGUAACUAUCAAUUUCUGUGUGCUCAUGUUAAUGGCCCUUAAAAUUAACAAGUACAGAAACUCUACUCAGUCACAUGCAAAAAAAAAA
rnacentral:sRNA from 1 species